rnacentral:lncRNA from 1 species
GUGAAAUCAGAAGCCAAUUAGGCCACAGUGAUUGUUUGAAAAGCUUGAGUCUUCCCAAAACUCAGGCUGAGACUUAGUUCUUUACUGUGUCGGUGCUGGGAGGUGAGGCCACCCAGGAAUGUUGGGAGCUUAUGAACAGAUCUCCUAUGAGCUAUCUCCUCACAGUGAGUUCUCACUCUGUAGUCCUAGAUAAAUUACCAUGACAGUGUGGUGUCCUAAAGCAAUGUCAGCUCUUGUGUCUCUUUACACUCAGUGCCUUUCCCUGCUGCCUUUCUGCCCUGCAAGGCCUUCACCAGAAGUCAGGUAGUUUGGCUCAAGCUUGGACUUUUGGUCUCCCGAACUGAACUGCUUUUCUUUAUAAAUAACCUACACUAAGAUAUUUGUUAUAUCAUCAUCAACAACAACAACAACAACAACAACAAAAACCAGUCUUAGGCAAUCAUUACACUUAGUUGUUGACAUAUUGUUUGAUUAUUUGUAUUGCUAUUACAAUGUCUGGAUAGAUUCCUUAGACUGUUGAUAUCUAGGAAAUGGCUUGUGGAGAGAAAAAAGUAACAAUGGACCCUAAAUUUCUAAGUUUUACCUUUCCUUCAGUGAGCAUGUAUAAUUUUGUAUAUCAUUUGCAUAAAACAAUUCUGAAUGUAAUUUUGAUGCCCUGUUAGAACUGCAACUGCUAGCCACGAGUCGUCCUUGCCAUUCAUCAGAAUGUUAGAAUUAAAACCAGAAGAAGGCUUAUUGAUGGAACUGUAGCAAAGUGGGUGUUACAUGAAGUCAGAAGGCCCACAGCAGCAGGAGCAGCAGCAGCAGCAGCAGGAGCAGCAGCAGCAGCAGCAGCAGCAGCAGCAGCAGCAGCAGCAGCAGCUCUGGGUGAGCUUCCCUCUGUGUCCUUUGACCUCCUGUUUUCAGAAGCCUGUAACUUCAAGCUGACUGCCUGCUCUGACACACCCCAGCUGCUCUUUACUAACAAGGACACACCUUGGAAAAGCAUUCCGGAUGCUAGAUCACUUUUUCCGUGUUAUAAAAUCUAAUCAUGGAGUUAUGAUGUGCUUUUCUGUUUGUUUGUUUAAGCAAUUAAAUGAAGCUGUAGUGAAUGAAGAACAAUUCCUUGUUUAUCCUCAAGAGGGGCAGCUGAAGAAAAUGGAAAGAAACAGCUAAAAACAUUCAAAUAUAAACUAUGCUUUGCCAAAUAGCUCAUUCAUUUACAAAAUGUAACUUGCAAAGAGAUUUUUUAUCUGGUUGGGUGUAGAAACAACUCCGUUGGUAAUGUACUUGCCAUGCAUCCUGAGUUUGAUACCCAGUACCCAAUUACCCACACAAGAAGCCUGGUGGCAUGUGCUUAUAACCCCAGCUCUAGAUAGGGAAGUAUAGGAGGUAGACCCUUGCGAAUCCCAAAUGUUAACCAGCCUAGCCUG